GGGGUCCUAGCUCAGUGGUGGAGCAGCUGCUUUGGAUGCAGAAGGCCUCCGGUUCAGUUCCCAGCGUCUCCA